CGUCGGCGGUGGACGCAAGGGGGAAGGAGGGCGGCACACCGGCAGCGGUAGCGGCGACGACGGCGGUGGCGACGGUGGCGCACGGCGGCACAGAAGCGGCGGCACGGGAACGGCGG
rnacentral:sRNA from 1 species